rnacentral:rRNA from 1 species
AUUGAACGCUGGCGGCAUGCCUUACACAUGCAAGUCGAACGGCAGCACGGGAGCUUGCUCCUGGUGGCGAGUGGCGAACGGGUGAGUAAUAUAUCGGAACGUACCCUAGAGUGGGGGAUAACGCAGCGAAAGUUGCGCUAAUACCGCAUACGAUCUACGGAUGAAAGUGGGGGAUCGCAAGACCUCAUGCUCAUGGAGCGGCCGAUAUCUGAUUAGCUAGUUGGUGGGUAAAGGCCUACCAAGGCUUCGAUCAGUAGCUGGUCUGAGAGGACGACCAGCCACACUGGAACUGAGACACGGUCCAGACUCCUACGGGAGGCAGCAGUGGGGAAUUUUGGACAAUGGGCGAAAGCCUGAUCCAGCAAUGCCGCGUGAGUGAAGAAGG